rnacentral:rRNA from 1 species
UACGGGGGGGGCAAGCGUUGUUCGGAAUUACUGGGCGUAAAGGGCGCGUAGGCGGCCUGGCAAGUGGAAGGUGAAAUCCCUCGGCUUAACCGAGGAACUGCCUUCCAAACUGCUUGGCUUGAGUCCGGGAGAGGUGAGUGGAAUUCCCAGUGUAGCGGUGAAAUGCGUAGAUAUUGGGAGGAACACCAGUGGCGAAGGCGGCUCACUGGACCGGAACUGACGCUGAUGCGCGAAAGCGUGGGGAGCAAACGGG